rnacentral:rRNA from 1 species
ACCCGCUGAACUUAAGCAUAUCAAUAAGCGGAGGAAAAGAAACUAACAAGGAUUCCCCUAGUAACGGCGAGUGAAGCGGGAUGAGCUCAAAUUUAAAAUCUGGCUGGUUUACUAGUCCGAAUUGUAGUUUAAAGAAGCGUUUUCGGUGGCAGCCUGGGUAUAAAUCCUUUGGAACAGGGUAUCAUAGAGGGUGAGAACCCCGUCUUUGACUCAGUGCAUGCUACUAUGUGAUACGUUUUCAAAGAGUCGAGUUGUUUGGGAAUGCAGCUCAAAAUGGGUGGUAAAUUUCAUCUAAAGCUAAAUAUUGGCGAGAGACCGAUAGCGAACAAGUACCGUGAGGGAAAGAUGAAAAGAACUUUGAAAAGAGAGUUAAACAGUGCGUGAAAUUGUUGAAAGGGAAACGCUUGACACCAGUCAUGCGAGCGGAAAAUCAGUCUUUUGCAGUGGGGAGUUGUGUGGGUUCGGACCGCAAGGCCGGCCUGCGCUGCAUCUCUGCUGUAAGUGAUGCACUUUUUCGUUUGCAGGCCAACAUCAGUUUCUUCUGCUGGACAAAACUCUUGAGAAGGUGGCAGCUUAGGCUGUGUUAUAGCUCUUGAGCGAUACAGUGGAGGGGACUGAGGUUUUCGCAGCGCGUGCUCUCGGGCAAGGCUGAUUGGGUGCUAUGGGAUCGUUCGGUGUACAAUGCAUGCAUUUUGCGCCGUGUCUUUUCUAUACUCGCUCAACUCGGCUCUUCCGCGCUUAGGAUGUUGGCUUAAUGGUUUUAAUCGACCCGUCUUGAAACACGG